rnacentral:rRNA from 1 species
AGAACUCUGAAUAGAGAGUUAAACAGUACGUGAAACUGCUUAGAGGUUAAGCCCGAUGAACCUGAAUAUCCGUUAUGGAAAAUUCAUCAUUAAAAUUGUAAUAUUUAAAUAAUAUUAUGAGAAUAGUGUGCAUUUUUUCCAUAUAAGGACAUUGUAAUCUAUUAGCAUAUACCAAAUUUAUCAUAAAAUAUAACUUAUAGUUUAUUCCAAUUAAAUUGCUUGCAUUUUAACACAGAAUAAAUGUUAUUAAUUUGAUAAAGUGCUGAUAGAUUUAUAUGAUUACAGUGCGUUAAUUUUUCGGAAUUAUAUAAUGGCAUAAUUAUCAUUGAUUUUUGUGUUUAUUAUAUGCACUUGUAUGAUUAACAAUGCGAAAGAUUCAGGAUACCUUCGGGACCCGUCUUGAAACACGGACCAAGGAGUCUAACAUAUGUGCAAGUUAUUGGGAUAUAAACCUAAUAGCGUAAUUAACUUGACUAAUAAUGGGAUUAGUUUUUUAGCUAUUUAUAGCUAAUUAACACAAUCCCGGGGCGUUCUAUAUAGUUAUGUAUAAUGUAUAUUUAUAUUAUUUAUGCCUCUAACUGGAACGUACCUUGAGCAUAUAUGCUGUGACCCGAAAGAUGGUGAACUAUACUUGAUCAGGUUGAAGUCAGGGGAAACCCUGAUGGAAGACCGAAACAGUUCUGACGUGCAAAUCGAUUGUCAGAAUUGAGUAUAGGGGCGAAAGACCAAUCGAACCAUCUAGUAGCUGGUUCCUUCCGAAGUUUCCCUCAGGAUAGCUGGUGCAUUUUAAUAUUAUAUAAAAUAAUCUUAUCUGGUAAAGCGAAUGAUUAGAGGCCUUAGGGUCGAAACGAUCUUAACCUAUUCUCAAACUUUAAAUGGGUAAGAACCUUAACUUUCUUGAUAUGAAGUUCAAGGUUAUGAUAUAAUGUGCCCAGUGGGCCACUUUUGGUAAGCAGAACUGGCGCUGUGGGAUGAACCAAACGUAAUGUUACGGUGCCCAAAUUAACAACUCAUGCAGAUACCAUGAAAGGCGUUGGUUGCUUAAAACAGCAGGACGGUGAUCAUGGAAGUCGAAAUCCGCUAAGGAGUGUGUAACAACUCACCUGCCGAAGCAACUAGCCCUUAAAAUGGAUGGCGCUUAAGUUGUAUACCUAUACAUUACCGCUAAAGUAGAUGAUUUAUAUUACUUGUGAUAUAAAUUUUGAAACUUUAGUGAGUAGGAAGGUACAAUGGUAUGCGUAGAAGUGUUUGGCGUAAGCCUGCAUGGAGCUGCCAUUGGUACAGAUCUUGGUGGUAGUAGCAAAUAAUCGAAUGAGACCUUGGAGGACUGAAGUGGAGAAGGGUUUCGUGUGAACAGUGGUUGAUCACGAGUUAGUCGGUCCUAAGUUCAAGGCGAAAGCCGAAAAUUUUCAAGUAAAACAAAAAUGCCUAACUAUAUAAACAAAGCGAAUUAUAAUACACUUGAAUAAUUUUGAACGAAAGGGAAUACGGUUCCAAUUCCGUAACCUGUUGAGUAUCCGUUUGUUAUUAAAUAUGGGCCUCGUGCUCAUCCUGGCAACAGGAACGACCAUAAAGAAGCCGUCGAGAGAUAUCGGAAGAGUUUUCUUUUCUGUUUUAUAGCCGUACUACCAUGGAAGUCUUUCGCAGAGAGAUAUGGUAGAUGGGCUAGAAGAGCAUGACAUAUACUGUUGUGUCGAUAUUUUCUCCUCGGACCUUGAAAAUUUAUGGUGGGGACACGCAAACUUCUCAACAGGCCGUACCAAUAUCCGCAGCUGGUCUCCAAGGUGAAGAGUCUCUAGUCGAUAGAAUAAUGUAGGUAAGGGAAGUCGGCAAAUUAGAUCCGUAACUUCGG